rnacentral:rRNA from 1 species
UAUACCGUGAAACUGCGAAUGGCUCAUUAAAUCAGUUAUCGUUUAUUUGAUAGUACCUUACUACUUGGAUAACCGUGGUAAUUCUAGAGCUAAUACAUGCUGAAAACCCCGACUUCGGAAGGGGUGUAUUUAUUAGAUAAAAAACCAAUGCCCUUCGGGGCUCCUUGGUGAUUCAUGAUAACUUCUCAGAUCGCAUGGCCUUGCGCCGGCGACGGUUCAUUCAAAUUUCUGCCCUAUCAACUUUCGAUGGUAAGGUAUUGGCUUACCAUGGUUUCAACGGGUAACGGGGAAUUAGGGUUCGAUUCCGGAGAGGGAGCCGGAGGAACGGCUACCACAUCCAAGGAAGGCAGCAGGCGCGCAAAUUACCCAAUCCCGACACGGGGAGGUAGUGACAAUAAAUACUGAUACAGGGCUCUUUUGGGUCUUGUAAUUGGAAUGAGUACAAUUUAAACCUCUUAACGAGGAACAAUUGGAGGGCAAGUCUGGUGCCAGCAGCCGCGGUAAUUCCAGCUCCAAUAGCGUAUAUUAAAGUUGUUGCAGUUAAAAAGCUCGUAGUUGAACCUUUGGCCUGGCUGGCAGGUCCGCCUCACCGCGUGCACUUGUCCGGCCGGGCCUUCUUUUCUGGAGAACCGCAUGCCCUUCACUGGGUGUGUUGGGGACCAGGACUUUUACUUUGAAAAAUUAGAGUGUUCAAGCAGGCCUUUGCUCGAAUACGUUAGCAUGGAAUAAUAGAAUAGGACUGGCGGUCCUAUUUUGUUGGUUUCUAGGACCGCCGUAAUGAUUAAUAGGGACAGUCGGGGGCAUCAGUAUUCAAUUGUCAGAGGUGAAAUUCUUGGAUUUAUUGAAGACUAACUACUGCGAAAGCAUUUGCCAAGGAUGUUUUCAUUAAUCAGUGAACGAAAGUUAGGGGAUCGAAGACGAUCAGAUACCGUCGUAGUCUUAACCAUAAACUAUGCCGACUAGGGAUCGGGCGGUGUUAUUAUUUUGACUUCGCUCGGCACCUUACGGAGAAA